AAUGAACGCUGGCGGCGUGCCUAAUACAUGCAAGUCGAGCGAGAAGACGUAGCAAUACGUUUGUAAAGCGGCGAACGGGUGAGGAAUACAUGGGUAACCUACCCUCGAGUGGGGAAUAACUAGCCGAAAGGUUAGCUAAUACCGCGUACGCUUCUUGGACUUCGGUUCAGGGAGGAAAGCGAUGCCGAGGGUAUCGCGCUCUUGGAUGGGCUCAUGUCCUAUCAGCUUGUUGGGAGGUAACGGCUCACCAAGGCUUCGACGGGUAGCUGGUCUGAGAGGACGAUCAGCCACACUGGCACUGCGACACGGGCCAGACUCCUACGGGGAGCAGCAAGUAAGGAAUAUUGCGCAAUGGGCAAAGCCUGACACAGCGACGCCGCGUGGGGGAUGAAGGUCUUCGGA
rnacentral:rRNA from 1 species